UACGUAGGGGGCAAGCGUUGUCCGGAAUCAUUGGGCGUAAAGAGCGUGUAGGCGGUUCGACAAGUCUGCUGUGAAAGUCCAGGGCUCAACCCUGGGAUGCCGGUGGAUACUGUCGGGCUAGAGUACGGAAGAGGCGAGUGGAAUUCCCGGUGUAGCGGUGAAAUGCGCAGAUAUCGGGAGGAACACCUAUUGCGAAGGCAGCUCGCUGGGACGUCACUGACGCUGAGACGCGAAAGCGUGGGGAGCAAACAGG
rnacentral:rRNA from 1 species